rnacentral:rRNA from 1 species
AUUGAACGCUGGCGGCAUGCCUUACACAUGCAAGUCGAACGGCAGCGGGGGUGCUUGCACCUGCCGGCGAGUGGCGAACGGGUGAGUAAUGCAUCGGAACGUACCCAGUCGUGGGGGAUAACGCAGCGAAAGCUGUGCUAAUACCGCAUACGUCCUGAGGGAGAAAGCAGGGGAUCUUCGGACCUUGUGCGAUUGGAGCGGCCGAUGUCAGAUUAGCUAGUUGGUGAGGUAAAAGCUCACCAAGGCGACGAUCUGUAGCUGGUCUGAGAGGAUGAUCAGCCACCCUGGAACUGAGACACGGUCCAGACUCCUACGGGAGGCAGCAGUGGGGAAUUUUGGACAAUGGGGGCAACCCUGAUCCAGCCAUGCCGCGUGAGUGAAGAAGGCCUUCGGGUUGUAAAGCUCUUUCGGCCGGGAAGAAAUCGUGCAGGCUAAUACCCUGUAUGGAUGACGGUACCGGAAUAAGAAGCACCGGCUAACUACGUGCCAGCAGCCGCAGUAACAC